GGUGAACGCUGGCGGUAGGCCUAACACAUGCAAGUCGAACGGCAGCACAGUAAGAGUUUGCUCUUAUGGGUGGCGAGUGGCGGACGGGUGAGGAAUACAUCGGAAUCUACUUUUUCGUGGGGGAUAACGUAGGGAAACUUACGCUAAUAUCGCAUAUGACCUACGGGUGAAAGCAGGGGAUCUUCGGACCUUGCGCGAUUGAAUGCGCCGAUGUCGGAUUAGUUAGUUGGCGGGGUAAAGGCCCACCAGGGCGACGAUCCGUAGCUGGUCUGAGAGGAUGAUCAGCCACACUGGAACUGAGACACGGUCCAUGCUCCUACGGGAGGGAGCAGUGGGGAAUAUUGGACAAUGGGCGCGAGCCUGAUCCAGCCAUACCGCGUGGGUGAAGAAGGCCUUCGGGUUGUAAAGCCCUUUUGUUGGGAAAGAAAAGCAGCAGGUUAAUACCCCGCUGUUCUGACGGUACCCAAAGAAUAAGCACCGGCUAACUUCGUG
rnacentral:rRNA from 1 species